rnacentral:ncRNA from 2 species
AGUUAUCUUCAGAGGCAAGGUGAAAAUCCUGACCGGCGGUAAAGUCCGUGAGCUAUUUUAAUAGUUGAACUGGUUAAAUCCCAGUACCGACAGUUAAAGUCUGGAUGAAAGAAGAGUGGG